UUCUGAGAAGAGGGAGGAGUAUUUGAGAGGCUGCAGAGAAGUUGCUUUAAAGUUCCUCCCUGGGAGGAGGGAGUGAAGAGACUAGCAAACCCAUAGGAGUAGGGAAGGCCAGGAGGUAUGGGAGUGACUUAGGGAAAGGCACCAAGGUGCAAGGAUUGGACCUUAGCUGCUGUGCAGAGGGUCUCUGAACCAGCACCUGGAGUAGAGGAUAGACCCAGGAUCCCACGCCAGCAAGUGUCUGAGUGGCGCUGAGCGGCAGUGAAAUGGGAGACUGCUGGAGAGCAGGAAUCUUGAUACACACACCCCAAAUGAGGAAGCAACAAUAGUGACCUGGGUGGCGUCACAGAAAGCACAGCUGCAGCUCCUGAGAGUAAGAGGAGAAACUUACGGCCCUGUCGAGCAAUGAAUACAGGUGACAAUGGAUACAGCUCCAAGAGCAGCUGCCUGUCACAUCAAGAAUACCUGGGUGCUGAUCAACAUCUGGGUGGAGUACAUUGUCCUCCAUGAUUUCAGCUGAAGCAGCAGGAAAAUUCAUGUGUACCAGGAAAUGUCAUGAAGGCUGGAUCUGAUGAGCAUUCAGCAGGCUCCGUCCCAGUGCCAGGAACAGAUGAAGAGCCUAAGGCUCCUAUACAGGGAGGCAAAAGACUCAGUCAGACCAGGAGGGCUCAUCACACAUGCCUCUUCUACUAGGAGCUUGACUGGAUGUUGUCAAGAGCCAGCAGUACUGAGCCUAAAGUGUCUCACACUGCCCUGAUAAAAGCAGCUGGCCUCAUUGUCCAACAGGAAGCAGCAGGGACCAUGAAGAUUCUCCUAGAAAACACAGAGGGUGAAGAGCAAUUUAUUCUGCACCUUUGCCCAGAGGUCCACUUUGCAGAAACCUCUUACAACGAACUCCAGGAGGACAUGGUGCUACAGCAGAAUCAGGACCCCGGCUGGAGCUUCAGCUUGUGAGAGUGAAACCAUGCCAGCAAGAGGGCAGAAUCAACACCCCAGAGAGGGAAGGAAUAGGAGGAAAAGGGCCCUAGAGGACCUGUUUAAAGGAGAAGCAAAACCAGGAGCAAUUUGAGUUCCUCAGGGCAAGAGAUGAGGGGUCGCUCCUCAGCAGGAAGAGGCUUUUGGUCCAAUUUUUGGAUACUACAUUGAGAACCUGAACAUUCCCUAAUGAAAUGCUAAUUGGAUUGGUGGCUGAGGUCCCAGAACCAGCCCAUCAACUGCCUCCUCCUCUUCCUCUGGCUGCUUCUUUAGAGCCUGUAAAUCCUCAUUAAAUACCUCUCUGACCAGCCAGAGGACAAACACUGGAUCUACAUGUACUGUCCUCCCAAAGCCCUUGCAGGAAAUAUUCUUAAAUUUCAUUGCGAGCUAUUUUCCCCUAUUG